rnacentral:rRNA from 1 species
AGUGAACGCUGGCGGUAGGCCUAACACAUGCAAGUCGAACGGCAGCACAGUAAGAGCUUGCUCUUACGGGUGGCGAGUGGCGGACGGGUGAGGAAUACAUCGGAAUCUACUUUUUCGUGGGGGAUAACGUAGGGAAACUUACGCUAAUACCGCAUACGACCUACGGGUGAAAGCAGGGGAUCUUCGGACCUUGCGCGAUUGAAUGAGCCGAUGUCGGAUUAGCUAGUUGGGGGGGUAAAGGCCCACCAAGGCGACGAUCCGUAGCUGGUCUGAGAGGAUGAUCCGCCACACUGGGACUGAGACACGGUCCAGACUCCCACGGGAGGGAGCAGUUGGGAAUUUUGGGCAAUGGGCGGAAGCCUGAUCCAGCCAUACCGCGUGGGUGAAGAAGGCCUUCGGGUUGUAAAACCCUUUUGUUGGGGAAGAAAAGCAGCAGGUUAAUACCCCGCUGUUCUGACGGUACCCAAAGAAUAAGCACCGGCUAACUUCGUG